rnacentral:rRNA from 1 species
CAGUCGGCGGUAACACAGAGGGUGCGAGCGUUAAUCGGAUUUACUGGGCGUAAAGCGUGCGUAGGCGGCUUUUUAAGUCGGAUGUGAAAUCCCUGAGCUUAACUUAGGAAUUGCAUUCGAUACUGGGAAGCUAGAGUAUGGGAGAGGAUGGUAGAAUUCCAGGUGUAGCGGUGAAAUGCGUAGAGAUCUGGAGGAAUACCGAUGGCGAAGGCAGCCAUCUGGCCUAAUACUGACGCUGAGGUACGAAAGCAUGGGGAGCAAACAGGAUUAGAUACCCCUGUAGUCCCUGUCUCUUAUACAA